CUUUCUCAUUAAUGUUAUCUACAGAAGGUAUUUAUGAUUUAAAAAAUAAUUAGCUAGGAAAGCUUUCCCGUACAAGAAGAAAAAGGUUUUGUUGAAGACACUUAUCUAGACAGCAAAGUACAGUUAUUUUCCCAGAGAGUUGAGGAUGACUACGACUGAGACAACUGUGAUGAAACACUUCUGCACACCUGCUUGUGGAUGAAUGGGAAUGCAGUCUGCUACACCUGAUUUCAUCAGAUGUUCUAUUAUUUGUUACAAUCUCUGCUGGUUUUGUUUUCUAUAGAUAACACAAAAGAAUAGUGACUGUUAAUACUAGGAAGUUCAGAAGUUUUUUACCUUGUUUCAUUUUUUGUCACUGAGACAUGAAUAUUUUGAAAAAUAUUAUCUCAGACCCUUAUUGCUGAUAUUCAUUGUAUAAUGUGAAUUUAUGGAAUUUUUAUGAAAAAUUAUGGAAUUUAUGGAAAUUUUAUGAGCAUUAUUUAUAGGAUGUUGUUGUAUUUAUAGCUGGCUUCUUGUAUAUUUUAACAUCUCUUUGUGUAAUUACUUUUAAGAUGUGUCAUUUGAGAUCUUUUUGUUUUCUAACUGCAGAUGCAUCUCCUUAAACAAGCUGUACAGCUGUUCCUGAACAGGGUUUUUCUUGCUCUUUAGCUCCUUCCCUUGCUUAUGAAGGCUUGCUUUUGUCUAAUUCAGUGUAACUUUAUUGUUUUCCAGUGCUUCCAGACUUCUGGGAAAAUGUAUCAUUGCUGAAAGUCAGUUACCCUGAGAGAAACAUCAGAUUAAACCAACUGCUAGAUAGUUC